UAAUAUUAUUUUUUUUUAGAGACAUAGUGAUGGUGUCGUUUCGAUUCGAUUUAAAACGGUUGAUGCUGCCGAGCUGUGCGUUAAGCUUAUGAACGGACGCUGGUUUGGCGGGAGACAAGUCGUAGCACAAAUUUGGGAUGGAGUUACUGAUUAUAAAGUUGAGGAAACUGAACAUGAAAGGGAAG